GGGUUUUCUCCAUUCAGUUCCAUUGAAUUUAUUGGCGUUGAUCUGGAGAUAUAAAUGGAAGGUAAGAUAUGACAGCCCAAGGAUCAAGAUUCUAAGAAGAUUGUGCGUGUUGUGUAUAUGGAAGAAUCUCAAUAAAAGAAAUAUAUAAGAAGUGAGUUUUUUGUAAUAAUAAAUUUACGUAGAAAAUGUGACUGAAAUGGUAAGAAAUGAGAUAUCAUGGAUUCCUGAUUCGAAGGGAAAAAGAGAACCACAAAGGAAAAAAAAAUUGCUGAAAUGGAAGCAUGGAAAUAAGUAAAAUUUUAAAAUUUUAAUAUAGUUAAUUGAACUAAAAUAAUCUCUCCAUCGAGGGAAAAAAAUUACUGAACUAAAAUUUUAUAACAUGAUUCAGCAAAAAAGCAUACGUAAUUUUUAUUUUAUUUUUCCUUUAACAAUAAAAAUCAUUCUUAUUUGAGGAAACCUGUGUAAGAUGAGAGAGCUACGAGUCAUCCAUUAAAUUUACUACGCGGCCUAAGAGUUUUUUAAGGAUUAUUAGACAAUAUACAGUUGGAUUUACUUUCUUUGUCAUUAGUGUUUUGUAAUUGCUACUUAGGUUUUAAGAUAAUGUACAGUUGGAUUUAAGAUUUCGACAAAAAUCUACUUUGCAUGGAUUGCAAAAAUUUUGGAGAAAACCUAAGAUUGUAGAGUAGUGAAUAAAUGUCUUCCAUGAAAAUAUGGAAAAGUAAUCUAAUUUAUUUGGUGUGACUCGUUGAUUUGGCUCCGCCAGUUCAUAAUUUUGUCAUCAAUCUCUAAUUUCGCUUGAUAGCUGCAAAUGAUUGUGGUGGUCUAGAUUCCCACGUAUACAGAGUCUACGGAUAUGUGAAACCUCGCUUUAAAAAAAAGUUGGAUAAACAACUUUUAACACAUUUAAAGGGUAUCGAUUAGCACACACAAUAUACCAUCUAGAUAUGCGUAAAGAUUAGUGUACGCAUUCAAUAAUUUACACGUUAAGAUAAAAUAGAAAAUGAGACAAUUUUUGGCAUGGGAAAUGAGAAUGGAGAUUUCGGAGCCCUAUCCUAAAGUGAAUCCAAAACUUUUAAACAUACUCUAUGCUAAAUUAUAAAGCUAAUCCACGGAGGUUUUGUUCUAAUAGUUAAGAUUGAGAUUUUAAAAAUUAGAGGUUGUAGAAUUAAUUAUUAUCUUCUCCUUCUCUACUUUUGAAAUCUCAUCCCUUUCCUACUUUCAAAAAAAUUAUGAAACUAAGUUACAGUAAUGUCCAAUUGUCUGAAAUUUGUCAAUUUUCUAUAAUCUUUCAAUAAGAUAUAUACUUUAUUUUUUGGGUCAUCGAUGCAUCUCUUGGUAUAUCCACGUACACUUUUACUCUACCCUUAUCCUAGCACCUACCUAGGAUCGAUGCCAAUCCAACUUAUGAAAUAUUUCUCCUUAAAUUUGUUAAUGAUCUAUUUCAUCUCUUUUAGAGGUUUGUUUAGAUAAGAUGGAAGGGAUUUUUUUUUUUUGGACAAUGAGAUAUAUAAGAUAUUUCUGCAUUUGUUGUGUAAAUGCCUUUAGGAGAUUGGUUGGUUACAUCUAUAUUUUGCUACAAAAAUGUGCAAAAGGUGAAGAGCUUUGAAAAUUUGAUUUUAAUUGUUGAUCUAUUGCUAUAACUUCUGUUGCUUUUUACAAGCUAAAUACCAUAUGAAAUUUGAACAGAAUAUGAACUUCUUUCUUUUUUCAAUUAUCGUUGUUGAUAAGUGCAUAUUUUACAUGUUUUAAGUGUAUUUCACUAUUUAGUUUUGCUGUGUUUUAACUACUUUUUAUAGUUAAUUAACUAAGUUUCUAGUGAAAAUAUGCAUUUUGUGGUUUAAGUGAAAAAAAUUGCAUUUCUAUGGAUUUUAAUGGUUAAAAUUUCAUAUUUUUGUAGGUUUAAUGAUUCAAUCAUCUAAUGGAAUGAAUUGAGAAGAUAAUUAGAUGGUUAUUGAUGAUUUGAAGUGAUAAAAAGAAGAUAUGAAGUGCAAAAUACUCAAAGAAUGAAGUGCAAGUUUCUCAACUUUGACAUCUUGUGGUAUUUCGGUUAUAUCUUGACCUAUAACUAUUAGAUUAAGGUGAUUCUUGUAGGACUGUCAAUGGGGCUGGGCCAGCCCGAGCUCGGCUCGUUCGGCCCGACAGAAAGCCCGAUGAGCCCGAUCAUUUAGUGAGCCGGUCUGAGCUUGAGCCUAAAAAAUAGGCCCGAAUUAAAUGUGAGCCGAGCUUGGGCCUUAUUAGGCUCAAACCCGAUAUAGGCCCGGCCCUUUAAUUACCUAUAUAUAUAAUAUUUAUAUUUUGAUAUUAUGUAUAUUUAUAUAUCCAAAUAUAUUUUUACUAAAUACUAAAUAUAUAUAUAAAUUACAAAAUACAAAAAUACAUCUAAAGAUUCUUUCAUGAGAUUUCUUGAGAGCCAAUAUUAGUAAUGCAUAACUAAAUCUCUAAUUUUUCUUAUUGGUUGAGUAAAUUUUUGUAUUGGCAUAUUAUUGGUUGAUUUUUUUUGGUCUACAAAUACAAAAAUCAUCAAGCAUAUUUGGAUUUAAAUCACAAGAUUAUAAAAAAAGUUUCAACUUUUAAAGAUGUAUUGGCUUAUGAUCGCAUGUUUUAUUACUAUUUUUCAUGCAUUUUAAAUGGAUUAAAUAUAAAUAUUGUUGAAAAAAUUUUUGGUUUAUAUACUUUUUAAGAACUAUUAUUUGUUCAUGUUUAGUUUUAAUAUUAUAGUCUUGUAAAUGUUAACUUAGUUUUACAACUUAAUAGUUAUAGUAAUUAUAUUAAGAAAAUUAAGGAGUAAUAAGUGAGCUUGGGCUAAGCCCGAUUAAGGCUCACAACCCGAAUAUUAUGUGAGCUGAGUAUGAGCUUCACAUUUACGAAUCCGAAUCUCAUAGCCCGAAGCUCGAAAAUGUUUCAAAUUAAAUGAGCUGAGCUUGAACUCAUCAAAGCCCGGCUCAUUAGGCCCGAUUGACAGGCCUAGAUUCUUGUACCAUUUUGAAGCUAAGAGAUAUAUUUACAUUUGGCUUGAGACAUUGAAGUCCAGUUUAGUCAUUUUCCUUGCCAAAAUGUCGAAAUACAUAAGUACAUGUUCAUUGUUGAAAGCUGAAACGGAGUUCUGACUAGUUGAGAGUAUUUUGGUCAUUUCUCGGUCCACAAAGCUCUAAUUGGAUGAUUCUUUAGGAAUUGGAAAACUAACACAAAGAGCUACAACUUUCAUGUUUUGUGCAAGAGUUAGUUCAGCUUUCAUCAUUGAGAAAAUAUCAGUUGAAAUUGGACCAAAAGUAGAGCAAGGAUAAGAUCUGCCCAGAAUGAGUUAACUUGCAAAAAGAGCAAAACGGGUGGUUAAAAUGCAGGCAUAGGCUGCGUUUUCUACCCAUGUGACAGCCCCACCUCCCCCUAAGGCGAACCAAAGGGUUCGGCGGACCGCCUGCCCAACUCUCGCCGGGACUCACUACAGUUCUCAAAUAAAUUACAAUGCACAUCUCAAAGAUUACAUCAAAUACUCCACAAAUUUACAUAUCAUAAGUGUGGAAUGCACACCUACACUCGUUUCAAUUCCAAACUUUCAUACAAUCCCCACUAUUACACAAGAGGAGUCCGAAUUCAAACUAUAUAGGAGAUAUUACAUCAAAUACUCAUCAAGUGAAUCGAAUUCAAAUUCUACAUGAGAUAUCCCUUCAGACACUAAUAACUCAAUACACGUGCUUCCUUUGCCUCGAGCCCUGUGGAGGGGGAAAAAAUAUGUUUUGGGGUGAGUUAAAAACUCAGCAAGUGUCCAUUAAAAUCGUUAAUCAACCAGGUUCGCAAUAAUGCAUAUAACUAAUGUCAUGAAAAAGUUGGCAAAUGUAUAUAUGUUGCUCUUGUGAGCCAGUAAAGUCAUCGUACUUAGAACUCUAACGCUCAAACAGAUCCAGUAAGUCAAACAGUACAAGGGAGCCAUCGGUGCUCCAAAUAAACAGUGGUGGGGACGUUGGUUCUAAGUACAAGAUUUUCCAAGAACUCAUUGGAGCCAAAUCAUAUCAUGGUACACACACAAACACAAAUGGUAUGCAAUCGAGUAACCAAUGCAAGAAUUAGUUCGAAAAGUAAUGUUGGAAAUAGCUGUGGAAUCACUCACCAACCACAGUUCAGGAACCUCAUCCAUCAUAAAUCAUUGCCUUGCUCAAGUCCAAACCCUAGAUCGCAAAUAUCAUGUCAAACAAAAGGAAUUCUAAAAGCAUCAAGUUCCUAUCACCUUUUGGCAUUUUAAUCACAAUUGAAGCUACACUUAUCCGAUUGAAACGAAUCUUAUGGUGUUACGAAGCUAAGACAUAUACCAACAUUUCUUAUGAAGACCUCCAAAGCCAAAUCAUACAUUUUCAUGACCAAAAAUCGACAUCUUAGACUGAAAAUGGAAACUGUCCAUGAAACAGGGUUUAAGGGCAGUUAAGGGUAUUUUGGUCAUUUCAUAAGUUACAGAACUCCAUUCGAUCUAAAAUUUUGCAGGUAGAUAGCUAACUCAUAUAUCUACAACUUUCAUGUUUUGUCCACAAGCUGGUUCGGUCUAAAACAUGGAUAAAUUUGCAGUCCAAGUUGAGUCUAGAAACAAGGUAAAACUGAAAUUACACUUCUAAACUAACCUUUGUAUAUAAUCACAAGUACACAUACGAAUCAUAAGAUAUACCACACAUCUAAUUAGGCCACAAUGCCCCUUCAAUAUGAGCCAAUUGAUAGCUCCAAAACUAAACACAAUUAUACCAAAAUUGGAAACCCUAAAACUGAAAUUUCCGCACAAAUUCUGAAAUUUUCUGCAAACAACCACAACUAACACAUAAAAGCUCCGUUUCACACCAUAUCUAGCUAUCAUUCCAUGGCUAACCCACAAUUAUCAUAUAAAAUCUGAAAAUUCACUAAUAAAUCAGAAAUUGGUCAACUCUACUUAAAAUCAUGAAAUCAUCCACAAAAUAGCAUAUAUAACAUCUCUAAUCCACCAAUUAACCAUCAAUUGAAGUAGAUAAGAAGUUCUUAGCAAGAUAUCUUCAAACCUCAAGAAAAUUGAUAGCUUAGUGCUCCCUCCUCCAAAACAACUCCACCAAUAGCUUUAAACCUCCUUAGUGAGCACUUGUAUGGAAUAGAUUGCAAAACUACCGGUGCAAUCUCAAGUUUUGAGCAAGAAAUUGAAGAACUUUCUCUCUUAUUUUGCUCCUCAAAGUGCCGGCCAAGAAGGUGAAGAAAUGAGAGAAAUAUCAGCUAAGAAACAAGAUAAGGAUGAACGAAAACAGCCAGUCAAAGUUGACUGCCGGAGGUGACACGUCACAAUCGGGCCGGAUUCCAGGCAGUGGUGAAAUCUAUUUUUUUUUCAAAACCCACUAACAAUCCGGCCAACAAUCCAGCCAAGAACUAGCCAGAUUUGCGGCCGAAUUUGGUACUAACCGUUUCCACCAAAAAUUUUCUUUUCUUCUUCUUUCGGAGCUUCACAACCCAUGUUUUCAUGGAUUCUAGCUGCAACUUGUACUCUAUUCACACAACCUUUUUGGCCACUUUUUCUGCAGAGAUUUCGGCUGAAAAUGAGCAGAUGAGCAUGGAAACUUUGAGAAGCAACCUUUCAGAGUUUUAAGAGUCAAAAAUGCCACUAGAAACAACUCAUUAUGACUCUUUAAUCCUCUAUAAAUAGAGGCUUUUGGGGAACAUUUUAAAAACUUUGGGAAAGCUAGAGAAACUCCACAAAAAUGUAGCUUUCAUUAGAAUUUCCUUAGUUCAUUAGUUAGGGUAAUAUAGUAUAGUUAGAGUAGUUUAUCUUUCUUGUAUUUGUAGUUAGAUUUGAAUGAAAAUUUGAAGAGCAAAAAUAGAGAGUUAGAUCUCAUGUGACAAGGAUGACUUCUUCCCUAUCACUUUCUCUUUUGUAUUUGAUUUCAUAUUUAGCUAUAAUACAAGUUUGGAUCUUGUUCCUUAUGUGUAGUUAAAGUUUAUGCCUAGAGUUAUGUAUGAACUUUCUAUAUCUUGUUAGUGAUAUUUAUUUGGUUAUUUGAUGAAUUUUGAUCAAGUUAUUUAUCACUUUUGCUUUUCUAAUCAUGAUUAACUAGCUAUUAAUUGUGAUAAUCUUAAGGGAUUAAGUUUACAAUGAAAAUUGGAAUUUAGCACUAGUUCAAGGAAGUAAUAAACCUAGGGAGUACACUCACAAAAGUAGAGGUGCACAUUUGUGAUUUUAGUGACUUGUUUUAUGUAAUUUCAUAGAAAAAAUGAACUUGUAGUUAGUUUUUUUUUUUACAAAAAUAGGGAUGCCAUCCCUUAAUUUAUUUAUAACCGAAAAGAGUACAACGAAUAAGAGGGGGGCCAAACCUGACCUCUGUUAAAGUAAAAGAAACAUCUAAGGAAACGCACAUAUGAAGGAAUUAUAAACACAUAACAGAUCAUCAACCACAUGAGGGUGUGUGACAGCCCCACCUCUCCCUAAGACGAACCAAAGGGUUCGGCGGACUGCCUGCCCAGCUCUCGCCUGAACUCAGUCGUUUACUUCAAUCCUCAAUCAAAACCAGAAUAAAUCCACAAGAAUAAACAUAACAACGAUCCAAAACUUAAACGAAACUUAUAUAUAUUGCUAUCUCAAAAAGAAAUACAAACAUCGAUUAUACAGAGGUUCUCAAUUCUUCACACAACCAGCCCGUGCCAAGCACUAGGGCGAGAACCAAUACAAAAGAAUCAAAAGAACUAGACUAAGCUAGUCGUUACAAAGCUCUCGUCCUUACUCGCCUUCCUCUGUUAAGGAAAACAAAACUAAAGGAAUGAGUUAAAAACUCAGUGAGGUUCCGAACACAUAAUCAAACAAGCAAUCCAAUACAUUAAACAUAGAGUAUCAAUAAUUCAAGAAACAUUUACAAGGGAAAGCGAUAAUAACACAUACAUUAAAAGGAUACGGGCUCACAGGGAGUCAUUUAUUUGUUUGUUCGUUCGUUCUCCUGUCAUUCCCCUUAUUCCUCCAAUCAUUUGAAAAUGCGUUUUGUAAGUAAAACCCUCGUUCGUUCGUUCGUUCACCCCCUCUUGGACAUUGGCCAGGCUCCACCGACAACAAGGUAAUACUUGAGUAUACCAAACGUUCACGCCCAGGGUCACCAUAUCGCCCGACCGAGUCCGCUUCUGGCUCGAGUCGAUCGGUAAUGAAGGGCAGAACCCUGUUCAGCCAAAAGGCUUACAUCAUGCACAACUAAUGUAUCAAGCAUUAAAUCAUUGAAAAUUUCACGUUUCAUUUAGGUCGAGCGCGAUAAAGUACACGCUCGCCUAGAAAACUCGUUUUGGAAAUCCUUGAAAGCACUUAACACAUUAUCAAACAAUAACACAAGCCAUGAAGUCAAAGAAAAUAUAGCAAACAAGGAACACUCACCUAUUUAAGUAAAAUAACGUCCAAAGUUUCCUUCCGGAUACACCCUCAAUCACCAAGGUAUCCUAAUAUAAUCAAAUGAACACAUUAUGCUUCAACCAUCAAAGAUGUAAGUGAGUCAAAGAAAAUUCGAAUACGUACUAGUACAAAGUAUAAAUAUGGUUUUUGGUAGUGAAAAGAGUACAUUGAAACCAAAGGACAUAAGUAAAAUAUUUGUAAAACUUAGACUCACUUGUAAAACUUUAAAAUUGCUAUUUGAGUCGAAAUGGCAAAGAAAACGUAAAUACCCUAGAUGGUUCACGUGGUAUUCGCUCUCAAUUUUUACUCAAGUCACAAGUAUAUCGACCUAGUUCUCGAGCGUAAAUUUGGGCAGCACGCCCUUUGUAUUUACCUAUUUUCCAGCCAUUUAUGACUUCAUUCUUUUCCUCAAUCAAACCCAAAGUCAUAUACAAAAUCAUCUCAUUUCAAUAGCCAUUCCAUAGGCUCCAAGUCAUACAAGUACAAAAUCAAGCUAGGAACAUGUGCGGAUAUGAAGGUUGAGUCAAGAAACAAAAGACUGAUUUGACGUUGUUUUGCGUAACGGACACAACCGAAGCUACGCUUAUCCGAUUGGGGUGAAAUUUAUACCGUUUCGAAGCUAAGACAAAGGCCUACAACUUUGAUGAAGACCAAUCAGUCCAGUUUGUAGUGUAUCUAGGUAAAAAUCUCAAAUAGCAGAACCAGAAUCUCACAUUCGGGCUUGUUAACCGCCUUAUGCGUAAACGACAAUAACUCAGGCUACCGAAGUCCAAACGAGGUGAUUCUAGGGACUUUGGAAAGCUGAAACAUAGGGUUAAAAGGUUCAUGUUUUGGGAAAAGACUGGUUUCAUACGGAUCAAGGUGAAAAACGCAGCCAACAUGAGGAAAUGUUAAAACUGUCUGCUGGACGCUACCUAGGGCAGUCUCAGGGGUAUAUUUAUCUUUUUUCAAGCUACGGUUGUCAGAUUGAGGUGAAAUUUUAUAGUCAACUAUAAAAUAUUAUUAUUUACAACUUUCAUGUUUUGUGCUAAUUCUAAUUUGGCCUCUAACAUGGUCAAACAGUGCCGGUCAGAACAGGGGAGGUGCAAAACCGAAAAUCUGGAAUUUAUGCCUACAAGUGCUAAUCUUUAUAAUUCUAGCUUAAAACACUACCUCACCUCCUUAUCUACACUUAUUCCCAUCAUAAUCCAUCUAAACAAGAAGAAAUAUGGCUGAUCAAUACAAACCCUAACUCACCAAUUCUCCCAAAAUCACCACAACUACUUCCAUAGCUACCAAUUUAACUAAAUCAUAAGUUAUAUAACAACUUAAACAAAAGUAAAAGAACCAAAGAUAAGGGACAGCCAAAAUACCUUAAGAACAAGCUUUCAAAGGAUAUCCUACACCUCUCUUUGAAAUUUUUGGUUCCUUAAGCUUCCCAAGCUCUCAAACUAUUGAUUAAUCGGUUUAGAUUUCUUGUUUUCUCACUUAAGUGGAUCAAACUCAAGAUGUAUUAUGGUUUCUUUCUCUUGGCUUUUCCCUCUCUUUCUCACGGUUCAUAUGGCAGAAAUAGAGGCUGAAAUAAAGUGCAAUUGAAGCUUCAAGAAGUUUAAAAGGAUAGGAAUUGAUUUGGGUCAAAGUGGACAAAUGUCACCCUUGGAUUGGAAGUCAAUUUUUUUCCUUUUCUCCCUUAUUUUGGUCCACAAUUUCGGCUAACUUGAGCUGGUUUAAGGGCUGAUAUUUUGCACUAAUAUCAAGGCUAUUUUAUGAUAAGAAAGUGGUAGUCAAGUGGGGUGUUCAAUCGGUAGUGAACGGUACCCGUCGGCUCAACCCAUUUUUCCUUAAAUCGCGUAUACUAGGGUUUUAACUUAUAAUUCACUAACUUAUUAUUACCACUUCUAAUCACACAUUUUUUUCUUAUCUAAAACUCAUUCUUAAUCACCAAAUUUAAUACACACUCCGUACCGAAUAAUCAUACUACGAAAAGACAUAAAAACCUUAGUUUACACUAACGAUGAAUGAAAAGGGAAAAGUCUUAAUUCUAUUGUUUAUUCUAACCCUUAGGGAUGUAAAUGAGUAGUAUAGCUAUUAUAAGGUAAUGGAUUUCAAAUAAAAAGGAAUUUUAAGAAAAUUGUGAGGGAUUUUACAAUUCCAUUGGUUACAAUUAAGGUUUCGAUUAAAAUAUAGGAGAUUUAAGAAAACCGGUUAGUCACAAGUAAACUAGGAUUUUUUUUUUUUUUUUUAGAAUUUAGGGUUUAAAGAAGUCGGGGUAUCACAGGGUGCCCCACAUUUGUGUGACUGUGAGUGAGCCUAAGAAUACAUGUUUGCAUUGUUUUACUUUUUUUUGAGAGCUGUUUUCUCGCUUUCUUUGAAAUCACUUGGGUAAAUUGCUCUUGAACUAGGUUCUGGUCUUGAUCUUUGUCUUUUUCACGUUGUGAAUCAUCAUCUUCUUCUUCAUUUUUGUCAUCAUUGCAUGUUGUACUUGAAUGAAGAAAAAGCAUUUGAUGUGGUCGGGGAAUCGUAUCAUGUAAUUUCUCCCAUUUAAUCUCUUCGAACACAUCUUUAAAUUGUGGCACAUCUUUAAACCAUGGAUUUUGAGGCAUAGAGGAUUUCGUUUCUGUUCUUGUACUUGUACUUGUACCCACAAGGGGUGUGUCUCCACCUAACACCAUAUCACGUGAUUCAUGAACUUGGUCUACCUUCGCGAGCACACCGUUUGUCAUAGCAGACGUAAUUCCAUUAAGUUGCUAUGAGGAGUCGCCAGCCUCCAUCACCUUCUCUUCCGAUGCAGCCUCUGUGAAUGUGCCAUUAGCUGGAUGAAUGGGAAGGUCAUUCUCAGACCUCGGAUCAGUGAAUUUCCCAUCCUCAAGUGGGUUUGAAGUCAAAAUCUGCAACCCAACAUCUACUCCAUCCUCUGGCACCACAACCCGAUCUGCGUCAAUAACAGACUUUGCAGCCUUAUGACUUUUGUCAAUAUUCGGUUGAAAAUCAUCAGGAUUGAUAGUAUCCAAAACAAACUGCGAAUUUUUCCCUAUAGUGGCAGCCUCCGGAAUUAUUUGAACAUGAGCAGUAGAGAUUCCUUGUUCGUUGUUGACAUCAGCAACCGAUUUGCUCUGGACUGUUGUCACCUCCAACUUCUUCUCCUUGUCAUUCAUUACUUUUGGAACAUAGAUUUGACGCUGUUUCUGUGUUUUAGAAGGGACUUCAUGUAUUGGCAGAUCAAAUCGCAAGAUAGGAUUUUUAUGAAAGCACUUCUCCUCUGCAUGUCCAAACUUACUGCAGAACCCACAAUAAGAUGGCCACAUCUCCAUCUCAACAGGUUGCCAAAACCCGAAGUGCUCAUCACCUAUCCAAAUAUGCCUCACAGGAUUAGACACAACAUUAAUCUCCGCUAAAACUUUGGCUACAGAAGGACGGCGCAUGUCACUAGUUGAUGCAUCAAUCUUAAGAGGCCUUCCCAAAGUAGACACAAGCUUGAAUAACUGGGUCUGCUGAAAAAAUGGAAUUGGCAACUCUGGGAAACAAACCCAAAUUGGAGCUAUCGAUAGUUCCUGGUUUGCCUUGAACUCUAACGACCACUUGGAGAUUGCCAUUGGUGACCUGUUAACGUGCCAUAUUCUAUGUGCAAAAAGACGAGUGUAAUCUUCCUCCAACACCGGACAUAUCAGAACAUGUUUGUGAUCUAGGAGCCCAAUCUUACAGUCACCUCGUAAACCCAGCGAAAGGAAGAAUUUCCUAAUAACUUCCAUGGGUGGUCUGCUGAACGAGAAGCGCCCCACCAAGAGUUUUGAAGCGGAACAGAAAGUUGCUCUAUUUCCCUACGGGAGAUGCGCAAGGCUGGCUCUCCUCUAAAGGUUGAAACCUCCCCCAAGGCUAAGGCAUCAAUUUGUUUCGUACCACCUGCCAGUACUGAUGCAAAGGACCUCAAAACUGUAGUCCCACUGUCCGGAUUGUCAGAUGGCCCAUAGGCCGCCAUCUCCGGCAAGUAGGGACGUAAAGCUGAUGUCUAUUUUGGCAUCAAACGUGAGGAAAUUGAGUUUCUAACCUUGGACAGAUUGAUGUUCAGUUAUUCAGCAAGAAUGAAAGCAGCUGGAGUGACAACCAUCUUUUUCAAUUUCCCUUUCUCGAGAGCCCAAUUGUAUGCAUAUCUGUGAAGCUAGUGCUGGGGAAUCUAGUGCUAAAGUUGGUGCUGAGGCUGCUGGAGCUGGAUCUGGGGCUCCAGCAAGUUUAAUUACCACGAAAGUAGGUAUAAAUUAACUAUAGGUAUAAUUGGUAUACUGGCGAAAGCGGGUAUCACAUAUAUUAGGAAAUUACGUCAUAACUAACCAAGAUAAUAGCAUUCACUUAACCGAUAAUUUCAUUUGCAAGAGUAGUCAGGAAUUCCAUACCUCUAGAAGUUUUAUAUUGUUAUUUUUAUUACUUGUAUUUCAUGUUUGUAGCAUAGAUUUAAUCUUUUGCAUAUGUGAUAGUGUAAAUAAUAAAAGAGUUCGAAAAUCAUCGGUAAUUGACAAUCUUUCCUGUGGAAUCGAUACCUAAUACCCCUAUGCUCAAUAAAACGGCUCGUAUACUUGCGAAAAAUCGCGUGUGGAGUAUUUAGGAAUUUAUAAAUGUAAAACUUGACUGUGGAAUGAGCUAAUUAUUAUAUGUAUACCCUGCACUCGUCAUGUUUUUGCCGCCGUUGCCAGGGAAGAUUUGCUCAAUAUUGGUGCUAAAAACUACUUUAUUAAUUUAGACAAUUUUACUUGCUUUUCUUAUUUUUGUUGUAUUUAGUGUCUAGUUUGUUAUGUGUGGUGUCUUGUUAAGUCUUUUAUUUUGUGUUUAGUGUUGCUUUUAUAUGUGUCGAGUCACCUAUUCUUCUUGACUAAACUUAUUUUUGAAUAAUUUUGAAAACAUGUUUAGCGACUCAAGAAAAGUAGAAUACAUGGGCGAACAAUGCUUGAGAAGUGGAAGAUCGGCAAUGGAUGGUUACCAAUUGCAAACCUCCUUGAAUAGAGGUAAUCGAGAAAUUACCGAAGGGAUGUCAUUUGAAAAUGGUUUAAGGAGUUUUAUGGCUAAACUUGAUAUUAUAACAUUAAAAGUUCAAUUGGACACCAUUAUGCAUAAGAUUGAGCAAAAGCGGAAUGCUAAUGCUUUUAAUUCUUAUCAUGUGAUUUGUGACUUGUGUGGAGGUUAUCAUAUUACUCAUACAUGUAGGCAAGUACAAAAUGUGGAUUAUUUAAUGAAUUUGGGUAUUGCAAUCCUUAUUUGAUCAAUAUGGUUCUAAUUGGGGCAAUUCUUAUGCUUAUAGUUGGGAUAAUCAAUGUGCUAAUUGUGCUUCUCCUUGUUUAUAUGAUGACCAAUUCGAAUGUGUCCAAUAUGAAUCUAAGCCAUUUUGGAAAUUAGCAAUAGAAAGGUUAGUUAAUGCAUCUUUACCUUGGAAAUUAGUAAGUGAACCAUUACCGAAUGAUUCUAAUGCAUCUUGGGAGCUAGUUAUAGAAGAAUCUUCUAUUCAAUUUUAUUUAGCUAUAGAAAAGUUAGCUAAUGCAACCUCCAAUCAUUUUGCCAGAAUUGAAGAAAGGUUAGAUGAAUUAACUUCUCACUUUUGUAGAAUACAAGAACAAUUGCAUGUUAAAUAACUCUAGCAUGAACGGUGGAAAUAUUACAUGUGAAAAUGGAUUGCAUUUUGAUGAAAAUGAUGCAUCUAAUGUCUGUUUCAAUGAAGAAAUAUCCAUUUCACAUGAUAAUACAUUUGGAACUAACUUUGAAUCUCAAAAGGUGAGUAUUAAUGAUUCAUGUUUCACCCCUCUUGAGAAAUAUGUUGAAAGUAUAGGUUUAAAAGAUAUUAUUGUCCAAGAAAGGCAAGCCGAUGUUCCUUCGGUAAGUGCUCAAGUGACACUCAUUCAAGGUAAUAUCUACGAUUCACUUGAGAUUGGUAAACCACUUCCAUCUCUCAUAUCAUUUGAAUAUGUGGCUUUUCCUAUCACGCCACCUUUUAAUGAUCCACCACAUGCUAAAAUUAUGGAUUAUUCUUUAAUAAAGUCUCCUUGAAAAAUGAAGUGAAAUAGUUAAACUAAUGACUAUAAAGAAGCGCUAGUUGGGACACAAACCAAUGUUUGUUUAAAUUUGUGUUAUUUUGGUGUGAUUUUAUGUUUAAAUUAUGCGUUUAAAUUGUUUUGUUAUUUUUCAUUUGUAGGAUUGGGAACUAGAAGCAAAUGUGGCAAAAUAAGGUGAAAAAGGCGAAAUUUGAUCAAAGAUCUCAACAUCUCAAAUUGAGUAAUUGUGAUUUUUUAUGCAUUAAAGAAGUUUAGAAUGCAUGUUUAGAUCAUUUUAUAUGUACGAAUAUUGUUUAUUUUGACAAAAGAAUGAUAUAUGGUGUAUUUUAGAAAAAUGGGGUUAUACAAGUAAUUUUGAAAAAAAUGCAGAAAUUCUCCACUAAAAGUGCAGAAUUAAAAAAUGCACCCAUGAAAACGCGGGCAUGGUUCGCGUUUAUGGGUCGCUUUUUAGUGUAACUUCGCGAACUUAAAUGCGAGGAUACUCGCGUUUACACCCUCAUUUUAUGCCUGUUUUGAUUCGAACAAAAACUGAAAACGUGGGUUAGAAAACGUGACCAGGGCCACGUUUUCAGUCCAUGUGUUUUCGAUUCUGCAAGGUCCAAACUAAAAACGCACCCUAUGAAACGCGACCGAGUCCGCAUUAACUCCCCGCGUUUUCUUCUUCUUCUUUUAAAAAUUGAAAACGCAGCUUCAUUUUUUAUCUUGUUCUUCUUUCUUGCACCCGCGUUUUCUUACUACUUCACACACACCUUCACAAAUUCUCUCUUUUACUCCAUUUCUUUGCAAACAAACAUCAAUCCAACAUCAUCUAACCUUCAUAGACCCUUUUUAACCGAUUAAAAUCUAAAAAAAAAGCACCUCAAAAAUUGGUUUUAAGAAGAUUGAAGGCUAGGGUUCUUGGUUCUAAAAUUCAUCAAUUAGAGGUCAAUUAGAGGGUGUUUCAUAGGGUUUUUUGCAUUAUUAGCAUCAUCAAACAUCCUUUUACGUGAUUAAGGUAAGUUUUUUUCAUCAAAUCUUCGUAUUUUAGAAGUUGAUAUUCUCCAAUUUCCUGAGCUUUCUGACAUCUUUUAAUUUCUAAUUUUUGAUGAUAUUUAUUGAUGUUUUUGGCCCCUAUUAUGCUUAUUAAGGUUGAUAAUCAUGUUUACAUGUUCAAAUGUAGCAAGUUAAUGGAUUAUUAGUUGUUAAAUUUUUAAUUUGCUAUAUUUGGAUAAAAUUGAAAAAGUAACUUGGAUUGUUAUUUGAGCUCUUUUGAUAGAUGAUUAUGGCUAAAAAUAGUUAGUUGAUGAUGUUUUAACAUUUGCAUUGUGUUUAGAGAAUAAUUUUGAUGAACUUUAUGAUUUUUGGGAUAAUUUUUGCUUAAUUAUGUUUAUGGCACAAUGUGGAUUAUUGUUGCUAAUUAAGUAUUGCUAUAAACUUGAUUAUUGCUAAUUUCAUUAAUAGGAACAUAUUUGUUGCCUAUUUUAAUAAAUUGAUAAUUUUGACAAAUUUUGAUUAAUUUUUUAUAAUUUUAAUGUCAUGUCUCUCAUGUUAUAAUAUUGAUCAUUGUUGAAUAUUUAAUUGAUUCUUUAUGAAAUGACGAUGUGAAUUUGUGGUUAUUUGAACAAAUUGUAAUCCCUAUACAUGAAUGAUAAUUCUAUAAAAUGUCUACGAUUACUAUAAAUGAAAAUUUUUUUCUUUUAGGUGUUAAAGGAUUUAAUUCUUGUAUAAUGUGAGUGUGUGCUAUACUUUAAAUAGAUGGAUGGGAAACUUAAUGAUUUUUUCUUUUUAGAUACCAUGAUAAGAAGAGGACGGGUUAUUAUUCGUGAAUCUUCUAGUGAAGAAGAAGUCGGAAGGACACCAUCUCCGGUGUCCCAAUAAAAGAGAUCGCGAAGAGGCACAUCUAGGUGGCCACCUCCUCUGAACUAUGAUAUCGAGCACUUCACUUCCAAAGAUAAUCAAGAUUGGUUCAAGAAGCGCGAGUACAUAGAGUUCAUAAAUGAAAUGCACAUAGUUUAGGACAUUGAUGUUGUCUAUCGAAUUACUGAGGCUUUUGAGCUAUUGGAAUGUGUGCCUAUUCUUAUUCUCCCUCACCACAUAUAUCCUGAUUUGGUUCGAGAAUUCUAUGCCAAUAUUGACAACAAAAAAGGCCAUAGUGGUGAAAAGAUUAGAUCUUUUGUUAGAGGGAGACGAUUGACCAUCACUAAAGCCACAAUUGUUCGAAUUCUGGAGUGCAAUAAUCAAGAAUCGGUCAUUGAUUUAAAGAAGAGAUUUACUUUGCUGAACAAGCAUUGGAAACCUUCACAUGCCAUGACAAAAUUUGGUCUACAAUACCAACCAUUUCAUUCAUCGAGGAACGAGGCCAUCCUUGUACGCAUGUUCAACUAUCGACACCGCCUCAUUAUUUAUGUUGUGGCGCACAAUGUGAUUUGUGACGGUCCCACCUCCUCUUAGAGCAUACCCUAGAAGUUAGUGGACCGCCUGUUUGGCUCUCACCGGGGCUCACUCACUUACAUUAAUUUCAGAGAUAAUAUUUUGAUAAACCAAAACCAAACGUUCAAAUCUUUUACAAUACCAAGUUCAAUAUAAUAGCCUCAACCAUAAUAUGAUAUUAAAGGAUUUACAAUCACAAAAGUUUUCACGUUAACUCCCUAAGAUCCCUCGUUCAUUCCCUGACCACCAACUCCUGUAAGGAAAACGAAACUAAAGUGUUGAGCUAAAGCUCAGUGAGGUUUCCAUGCAAGCAAUAAUCAAUAAGCACUUAAACCAGAUAAGCCAAUAACAAAAUUAAGCAACUAAGGAACACUUCACUGAAUAAAGUAAAGAACACUUCACUGAACAAUCACUUUUAAAAAGGAUACGGUGCUCGCAUUAGAGCCACUUCCUUCUGGGAAUCAUUUUAAUGUCAUUGAGCAUUCAUUUUAGUGUCAAGAGAUACUCAUUUCAAUAUCAUUGAACACUCAUUUCAAUGUCAUUGUACAUUCAUUUCAAUAUCAUUGCACACUCCGCCAAUUCAUCUCCAUAUGUCCUCCAAAACAAUAAACAAUCUCCUACAUUCAGUAAUCAGUUCAAUAAUCUCCCAACUUUAGGGUAAUACUCGAGUAUACCGAAACUGUGACGCCCCGAAAAAAAAUGAGUUUGAGAACCAGGAAAAUUUCUAAUUUUCUAGGGUUUAUUUUUUUUUAACGCCCGCCUUUUCUACAUUUUCUUGAUUAGAAAAAAUUCCCCAAAUAAAGUUUAUGAGCAAAGAUAGGUUUAAAAUGAUUUUUCUAGUAUCGGUUAGUUUUUGAGAAAUUGAAAGCGUAUUUUGGACGUGGGACCCACUAGUGCGGUAAAUGCAUUAUAUUUUUGACAACUUGUUGGAAUUUUGUAUUAAGUGAUAUUAUUUUAAAAGGUGUUAAGAUAUUUGUAUUGGAGAGACAAAAAGAUAAGUUUUGAACCAAAAGGUGACAAGUGUCACCUUGUGAUUUAAUCUUGGACUUUGACCAUUUGACUUUACCUUUACCUUUACCAAAUAAGUACAAAAAAAUUGAUCAAAAUAAGCUUCAUUUUGCAAGCUUCUUGGCCGAAUGUUCUUGCUCAAGAAAGAAAGAAAAGCUCUCAAUUUCUUCCUUCUAUUUCUUGCUCAAUCUUCAAAUCCAACCAAUAAAACUCCAAAUUAUUCCAUAAAAUCUCUUUGCUAAGUGGUCUUAAGGUGUUUUGUGGAGUUGUUUGGAAAGCUAAGGUGACUAGUUGCUCUAUCUCUUGUAUUGUUAAUGUGAGUUGUGAAGAACCACUCUCCUUCCUUAAUUGAUGCUUAAAUCAUGAUUAGUGGUGGUAUAAGAUGCACUUUUAUGGAUUAUAUCUUGCUUUUGCUUGAAUUGGUGAAGUUUUGUAAUUUUUGGAGAUUUUUCUGUUUUAAUAUAAGUAUGAUGGUGUGGCUAUCUAUGAUGAUUGGAUAUGGUUUCUAAUGACUAUAGGAGGUGGAAAAAGUGGACAAUUGCAAUCAAUUUCUGUUUUGGAAGAAAUCUGGAAAAUUAGGGUUCCUUGGUUCUUCAUUCUGUCCGAAAUUUUAGGUCAUAGAUAGAGGCCGAAUUGGCCUUUGCUUAAAACAUGAAAGUUGUAGGGAAUGACAUUUUAGAGGUGUCUACAAAAUUUCAGGUCAAUCGGAGUAGCGUAGAGUGAGAAAAGUCGAAAUUACUAUUGCUGUUCUGGUUUACCCGAAAUUGGGAUUUGCGACUGUAAUUGGUUGUUUUGGCUGGAAUUGCUUCCGAAUUGGAUGUUGAGGCCUUCUGAUGAAAUUUACCCCUGUUUCUUAGCUAUCAGCUGGUUUUAGAAUUUCUGGAUUUGGACUUGUAUAGCCUGAUUUAUGAUGUUUCCGCUAGAAUGAGUUCUGUGAAGCUGUUUUUGUGAUUCUGGUGUAGUUUCUUGUGUUUUUGACCUGGUUACACUCGAAACUGGGUUGAGUGACCUUCUGUAAUAGUGUAGCCUUAUCUCUUAGCUUUGAAACGGUGGUUCUUGCACCUUCAUCCGACAAUCGUAGUGCCUUUGGUACCAUUACCGCAAAAUGACGUCAAAACUGUUUUUCUGGUUUUGAGCUUAACUUUCAUUUCCGAACUUUUCCCUAGCUUGACUUGUCUUUGUACUACUUGGAGCUUGCUGAAUGACUAUUGGAUGAACUUGUUGUUGUGUGUGUACCUUUGGGACUGGUUGAGGAAAUAAUGAAGCCAUGAUGGCUGGAAAAGUAAGCAAAUUUAGGGGAAGUGCUGUCCGAACUUUUAAAGGACUUGUUUGCAUUGAGUUUGUGAUCUAAGACUUGGAUUUGAGCAAGGCAAUGAUAUAUGAUGGAUGGUUUCUGAGCCAUGGAGGUGAGUGACCUCAAACUAUUUCUGAAGUUAUUUAUGAACUGUUUCUUGCAUUAUUUACUUUUGAGCUGUUUCCAAAGUUACUUUUGUACCGUUUUCUUGCAUUAUUUACCUUUAAACUGUUUCCAAAGUUACUUUUGAACUGUUUUCUUGCAUAUCAUGCGUGCUUGCAUGUGAGGGUUCUAUAUACGUUUUGUUUCUAUGACUAUGAGAAUUGUUGUGACUAUGUGAUUAUUUGUGAAUAUUUGAUCAAAUGAUAAUUGUUUUCUAUGAUUUCUAAAAUGAACUUUUGCUAGGUGAGUGUGUACUUUAUCGCACUCGACCUAAAUAAAUAUGAAAUUUUCGGUGAUUAAAUAUUGAAAUGCUAGUUGCGCAUGAAUGUAAGCCGUUUGGCUGAACUGGCCACUGCCCUUCGUUACCGAUCGACUCGAGCCAGAAGCGGACUCGGUCGGGCGAUAUGGUGACCCUGGGUGAAUUUGGUAUACUCGAGUAUUACCUUGUAGUCCGGCUACGUCCGGAUGGGUGGAGUCCGGCCAAUGGUCGGAUGGGCGGAGUCCGGUCAACGUCCGGAAAGGGGAUGAACGAACAAAAGGAUGAACGAGGGAUUUUACUUACAAAAAUGUAUUUUAAACGAUUGGAGGAAUAAGGGGAAAAGUCAGGGAAACGAACAAACAAACAAAUAACUCUAUGUGGGCCGGUAUCCUUUUCAUGAAUGUUACUAUCGCUUUCCAUUGUAAAUGUUUCUUGAAUUAUUGAUACUCCGUAUUUAAUGUAUUGUACAUUGUUUCUGGACUUAUCAUUUGAUUUAUGACAUCAUUGAUUUAUGACAUCAUGGAAAUGAACUAUUGUGAAACCGAUUUGAUUACUGAUUUUUCUGGUUACUCGCUGAGCUUCUAGCUCACCCCAAAAAUAUUUUAUUCCCCUCCACAGGGCUCAAGGCGAAGGAAGGACUUGUUGUGCUUAUUCACGUGACUGGAUGGCUUAUAUCUUGUAUAAUUUGGAUUUGGAAUCAUUUGAUGUAUAGUUGGGAAUUGUUUCCGCUUCGCUUAUGACAUGUAAUUAUUGGAGACUUGGAUGUAUGUUUGUGGACCAUGUGAUGUAUAUUUGAGAUUUUUAUUGUAAUAUAUUUGAGAAUUGUAGUGAUCGACUGAGUCCCGGUGAGAGUUGGGCAGGCGGCCCGCCGAACCCUCUGGUUCGCCUUAGGGGGAGGUGGGGUCGUCACAGAAACAGUUACCCAAAGCUUCCGUCCUAUCCGACCAAGCCCUUUGCUGGCUCGAAUAGUCCGUUGAACAAAGGGUUUUGGGGCCCAGUUCAGCCGAUGUGGUAAAGUACACAUACGGCUUACAUUCAUGCACACUUACAAUAACAUUUGGUCAAUUAUCAACCUUCAAACUCAACUAAGUCGGGUGCGAUAAAGUACAGCCCCGACUUAGAAGGCGAGGGACAAUUGAGAUACACUUUACAAUGAAUCACUAGCAAUAUUCCAUAAUAAGCACAUGUAUCACAUAAUUUCAAUUAAGUAAACAUAAACAGUUAAACACACCAUUUGGAAACACUCACCAAAUACCCAAAUAAAUUACUCUCGAGUCUUGUGUUUGUUUCCUGACUCACAGCUACUUCCUGAGACAAGUUCAUAAUUCCAAAGUAAAUAUAUAAUUUGUAGAUGUUCACUUAUUAUUUAUUAUCCUAUUAUUUAAAUUAUUAGAACCAAGUUUGACUUUAAAUUAUUAAAUAUAAUAUAUUCAAUAUUUAUUCUACAUUUCAUUUCGAGACUUAUUGACUUUAUCAUUUUAAACCAAGAAAUAUACAUAUUUUUCAAGUUUAUAAUUUAUAAAAUAUUUAAAUUAUUAAACCAUUUUCCACUCAAGAGUCUAAGAUUAAAGGUUAGGAACACUCCAUUGGUCCCCUUUUAACUAAUUAACUUUAAGCCAUAUGUAACUUAGAUUUUAUUUGUCUACACUAGUCCUUCAAGUUCUAAAAUCUUUAAAUGCUUGUGAGGACAAGAUUAGGUGAUUUGAAGCCUUGUUAUGUAUAUAGCUAUAACGAGUUAUUUUAGGGUUUCCAAAAAUGUCAUAGAAAGAUUAGCUAGCUACCGUUUUAGUCAAUAUCUAAGUUUCAGCAAUGUACUUCAUAAAUUCUGUUAAUAUUUCAUCUUUUGCUUGGCUAAAUCAUUAAACACUUGAUAUUUAUUCUGUCCCUGCCUAAACUAGAUUAAUCAACAUGUAUUAUCAACACAUAAUUCCAGCAAUUCAUUCCAUCAAACAUUUAUUCCUCCAACAAUGUAGUAGUUUGGAUUUCCGUUUUUCCUUCCUAGUUUUAGCUAGAAUUUUCUAAGGCUUUAUCAGCCUUUUAAGUAUUAAAAGUCAAUAGGGUGCACAUGAGAGCAGGGACAAGAUAUUACACAAUGUUUUACUCAAGAUGGCAGCUGAUUAUCAUGAAAUUUUCAGAGACUACAUCUGAAUUUUAGCUUCUCUCUGCCAUUAGACAAGCUCCUAGCAACAUUAUUUUAGAGUUUUAGUGGAGCUUCCCUCGUUUACUUGCUCGAAACAUCAAACCCAUGACACACAUUCUGUUCAACAUGAAUUAAGGUCGUUGUCUCAAAAUUUCAACAGGUAAUUCGAUCAAAUUCACCAACAAAACUGCUAUCAGCUUUUCAUCAGAAUUCCCUCCAUUAAUUGUUUCAUUAUGUGUUCUAAUUUAACAUACAUGCUGGAACUAACAUGUUAUACUCUGUGUUACACUUCAAUGUAAAGGUUUGGAAUCAGAUUUCUUGAAGAAACCUGCAACGGUUCCUAAUUCUUUCUCUCGGCUGCAACCAUAAGUUUCCAGUAGCAACGGCAGCCUUUCGUUUGACAUUUCUCAUUAGUUCUGUUUCUGGUUUAUGUCCUAGCUGAUCCUGCAAAGGAUACCUAUUCAACUGCAGAUCAUCCUAGGCUAAACAGGACAGUCCAUGAUCAGAAUUCAAAAGGAAAUAACUGAGUUAUGCCUCAUCUCUGCACUUAGCUGCAAAUUUCAAAUCUUCACUCUCGAUUUCUGCAAUUUUCUUCCUAAUGGCUUUUCGGUUGCUGCACAGAAUUUUCCUUCAGCCAAGAACUCAUUUUUCCUAGCUAAAUUCAACAUGCUGCUGGUGUUUAUCCAAUUAUACCAACUAAACAGCGAGUUGUUAUAAGAUCUUACCUGUUCCCCUUAAAGUUCGAUGUUGCAGGCUGCUCAAGUUUCUGUUUCAGCUAUUCAAUUCCUAACACUCGAUUCUCCCGUUUUCCUUGCAGUACCCUUGCUUGCUUUUGGUUAGCGAGUGAUGGAGCUGCCAAGCUUUCCCUCCCACUCUCACACUCAGUUCUAUACUCUCAGUUCUGGUCUAGAACGGAAGAAAGAAGAAGAGACAACUGUCUAGUUCAUUGCUGUCUACUUAAAAGACUCUUUUACCUUUUUAGUUCUCUACUUAGAAGACUUAAAGACCAGAAGAGAAUUAUACUACUCGGUGGUCAAUUUUUCCAAUCGGUGG
rnacentral:lncRNA from 1 species